rnacentral:rRNA from 1 species
CGGGUGAGUAACACGUGGAUAACCUACCUAUAAGACUGGGAUAACUUCGGGAAACCGGAGCUAAUACCGGAUAAUAUUUUGAACCGCAUGGUUCAAAAGUGAAAGACGGUCUUGCUGUCACUUAUAGAUGGAUCCGCGCUGCAUUAGCUAGUUGGUAAGGUAACGGCUUACCAAGGCAACGAUGCAUAGCCGACCUGAGAGGGUGAUCGGCCACACCGGAACUGAGACACGGUCCAG